rnacentral:rRNA from 1 species
CCUACGGGCGGCAGCAGUGGGGAAUAUUGCACAAUGGGCGCAAGCCUGAUGCAGCCAUGCCGCGUGUGUGAAGAAGGCCUUCGGGUUGUAAAGCACUCUCAGCGGGGAGGAAGGCGGUGAGGUUAAUAACCUCAUCGAUUGACGUUACCCGCAGAAGAAGCACCGGCUAACUCCGUGCCAGCAGCCGCGGUAAUCCGGAGGGUGCAAGCGUUAAUCGGAAUUACUGGGCGUAAAGCGCACGCAGGCGGUCUGUCAAGUCGGAUGUGAAAUCCCCGGGCUCAACCUGGGAACUGCAUUCGAAACUGGCAGGCUAGAGUCUUGUAGAGGGGGGUAGAAUUCCAGGUGUAGCGGUGAAAUGCGUAGAGAUCUGGAGGAAUACCGGUGGCGAAGGCGGCCCCCUGGACAAAGACUGACGCUCAGGUGCGAAAGCGUGGGGAGCAAACAGGAUUAGAUACCCGUGUAGUC